rnacentral:rRNA from 1 species
UUCCGGUUGAUCCUGCCGGAGGUUACUGCUAUCGAGGUUCGACUAAGCCAUGCGAGUCGAAUGUAGCAAUACAUGGCGUACUGCUCAGUAACACGUGGACAACCUACCCUCAGGACAGGUAUAAACCCGGGAAACUGGGUAUAAUCCCCGAUAGAUCUCGGUUGCUGGAAAGCCCCGAGAUCGAAAGCUCCGGCGCCAGAGGAUGGGUCUGCGGCCUACCAGGUAGUAGUGGGUGUAGCGUACCUACUAGCCUACGACGGGUACGGGUUGUGAGAGCAAGAGCCCGGAGAUGGAUUCUGAGACACGAAUCCAGGCCCUACGGGGUGCAGCAGGCGCGAAAACUUUACAAUGCCGGCAACGGCGAUAAGGGGACCUCGAGUGCCAGGUUACAAAUCUGGCUGUCGUGAUGCCUAAAAAGCAUUGCAUAGCAAGGGCCGGGCAAGACCGGUGCCAGCCGCCGCGGUAACACCGGCGGCUCGAGUGGUAACCGUUAUUAUUGGGUCUAAAGGGUCUGUAGCCGGCCGGAUAAGUCUCUUGAGAAAUCCAGCAGCUCAACUGUUGGGCUUUCAGGAGAUACUGUUCGGCUCGAGGCCGGGAGAGGUGAGAGGUACUUCAGGGGUAGGGGUGAAAUCUUGUAAUCCUUGAAGGACCACCAGUGGCGAAGGCGUCUCACCAGAACGGACCUGACGGCAAGGGACGAAAGCUAGGGGCACGAACCGGAUUAGAUACCCGGGUAGUCCUAGCCGUAAACGAUACUCGCUAGGUGUCGGCCACGGUGCGACCGUUGUCGGUGCCGUAGGGAAGCCGUGAAGCGAGCCACCUGGGAAGUACGGCCGCAAGGCUGAACUUAAAGGAAUUGGCGGGGCAGCAC